UUCCUUCCAGUCGACGAGGUACAUGUACCUCGUCGACCGGAACCCAGCCGGCGAGGUACAUGCCUUGUCGACUGGAAGGAA
rnacentral:miRNA from 1 species